AUGACACAGUAUGAAACAGAUCUGAUGUGAUCUUCUCUCUCAAAGAGCUCUCUGGAAGAGGUGGGGUUUAAAGCACUGAUACCUGAUGCGAUCUUGUUAAACUUCUGUUAGAGAGAGCAUAAGAAACACACACAAUGAAUCUCCAUUCUGUCAUUCUGCUUUCUGCCUUUGCAUAUGCAACAUAUGGAAAUGAAAUUAAACCUACCAAAACAGAGGAGUUUGCCUACGAGGGUUCAAGUGUUAAAUUAUCCUGCAGUUAUUCAUCUGCAUUCUAUCUUCACUGGUACUGUCAGUAUCCCGGAUCAGCUCCUCAGUUCAUUGUGCUCAUCUCAGGCAGUGCAAAAGAAGAUCGGAAGUCUAAUGUAGAUUCCAGAUUCAUGGCUAAAGUCACUAAAGACAAUAAAGAAAACCAUGUGUAUCUGGAGAUCUCCUCUACAUCUAUAUCAGACUCUGCUCUGUACUACUGCGCUCUGGAGCCCACAGUGACAGGAAACACAAGAACACUGUACAAAAACCUGAUAUAACUAUAACUCUACCCUCUACAAAUUAGACUGGAGCACAUCACAAUCAAGAGAAUCACAUUCCCAAAAUAUCAGCUCAGACACUGAGAACAAAAUCUGAUAAAAUGCAUUAAAAUAUCU